UCCAUUUCUUCGACUAGGCUGCCCUCUGA
rnacentral:piRNA from 1 species